rnacentral:tRNA from 1 species
GAAGUGCUAAUUAAAUUAUAAUAAUUCCUUGUCAAGGCAUAAUUACAGGUUGAACCCCUGUGCACUUCU